rnacentral:rRNA from 1 species
UGCGGCUACAUGCAAGUCGAACGGAUGAACACGGUAGCCUUGCUCUGUGGGAUCAGAUGGCGAACGGGUGAGUAACACGUGAGCAACCUGCCCCUGACUCUGGGAUAAGCGCUGGAAACGGCGUCUAAUACUGGAUAUGUGACGUGACCGCAUGGUCUGCGUCUGGAAAGAAUUUCGGUUGGGGAUGGGCUCGCGGCCUAUCAGCUUGUUGGUGAGGUAAUGGCUCACCAAGGCGUCGACGGGUAGCCGGCCUGAGAGGGUGACCGGCCACACUGGGACUGAGACACGGCCCAGACUCCUACGGGAGGCAGCAGUGGGGAAUAUUGCACAAUGGGCGCAAGCCUGAUGCAGCAACGCCGCGUGAGGGACGACGGCCUUCGGGUUGUAAACCUCUUUUAGCAGGGAAGAAGCGAAAGUGACGGUACCUGCAGAAAAAGCGCCGGCUAACUACGUGCCAGCAGCCGCGGUAAUACGUAGGGCGCAAGCGUUAUCCGGAAUUAUUGGGCGUAAAGAGCUCGUAGGCGGUUUGUCGCGUCUGCUGUGAAAUCCGGAGGCUCAACCUCCGGCCUGCAGUGGGUACGGGCAGACUAGAGUGCGGUAGGGGAGAUUGGAAUUCCUGGUGUAGCGGUGGAAUGCGCAGAUAUCAGGAGGAACACCGAUGGCGAAGGCAGAUCUCUGGGCCGUAACUGACGCUGAGGAGCGAAAGGGUGGGGAGCAAACAGGCUUAGAUACCCUGGUAGUCCACCCCGUAAACGUUGGGAACUAGUUGUGGGGUCCAUUCCACGGAUUCCGUGACGCACUAACGCAUUAAGUUCCCCGCCUGGGGAGUACGGCCGCAAGGCUAAAACUCAAAGGAAUUGACGGGGACCCGCACAAGCGGCGACAUGCGGAUUAUUCAUGCAACGCGAAAACCUUACCAGGCUUGACAUAUACGAAACGGGCCAAAAAAUGGUCACUCUUUGGACACUCGUAAACAGGUGGUGCAUGGUUGUCUCACUCUGUCGUGAAAUGUUGGGUUAAUCCCCCAACAGCCACCCUUUUUUUUUUGCCACCCUAAUGGGGGGAAUCUGGAUACCGCCGGGGUCACCG